AGUACAGCUCGCUCCACGUCCGGCCGCCAUAGUGCUUCGGGGAAUCGAGCCGCGCGCGUGCGAUUCCUGCUCCGUCGCGCUCGCUUUUUCCUCUCCGGCUCCGGUCUCCCUCUCUCUUUCUAUCACUCCGUCUCGCCUCGUCUACGCGACACCCAGCCGUGCUGUCCGCAGCGAGGAGCGUGCCGAUCCCGCGACGAAAUCCUGGUCCGCGACCCCUUUCGCCGCGUCCGUCGCAGCACCCGCGUCUUGGAAAUCAACGAGAAUAAACACCCUCGAUAAAACAACCAAAGAUGGAUGUUCAGACGGGACUUGUGUACGUCGGCAUUGUUGUCAUCUCCGCUGCGGCCAUCGCCUUCAUCUUGAUGUUUGGUACGAGAGAGAAAUCUUACGAAGAAGCAAUCGCCGAGCAGAGAAAGCUUCCUGAUGAUCUGCUGUCGAGUA